AUAUACGCAGCUUCCAGAGCAAAUACAAGUACAGCUUUGAGGAAUCUCGGGAGAAAUUCUGUCUGGGACUAUGAGAUGAGUGUCAUGGAGAGCUGUGGGAUUUAGCACGUUUGUUUUUUGCAUCAGAAAGAUUCUCAAAGCGGUCAGCGAUGUCUGGGAUGGACGGCUCGGUGGAGGAGCUCAACAACGCGACAGAAGUGAACAGCCAGAGUUUCCUGCGCUUCAGCCCUACAGUGUCCGUGUCCACCGGAGUGGCCGCUGCCUCCUACGGACGGACUGCUAAUGUUUACGUCUACAUCUCCAUCUUCCUCAGCCUGCUUCUGUUCCUGCUCACCCUCCUCAUCAUCGCUCUCCACCGGCUGAAGAACAUCAUCUCCUCCAGCUCCUCCUACCCAGAAUGCAGCAGCGACGCCGGCAGCUCCUUCACCAACAUGGAGAUCUGCAGCAUUUCCUCACAGAGAUCCACCGUGUCCUCGCUGUCCUGACAGAACAGAGACACCAUGAGCACACCAUGAUUGCUACACACAUUUGAGACAUCAUUUGCUAUACAUUAGGGCUGCACGGUAUUGGAAAAAUCUGAUAUUGCCAUAUUUUGGUUUUUAGUUGAAGUCAGAAUUAUUAGCCCCCCUGCAUAUAUUUUGCCCUAAUUUCUGUAUAACGGAGAGCAGACUUUCUCAACACAUUUCUAAACAUAAUAGUUUUAAUAACUCAUUUCUAAUAGCUGAUUUAUUUUCUUUGCCAUGAUGACAGUAAAUAAUAUUUGACUAGAUAUUUUUCAAGAUAUUAGUAUUCAGCUUAAAGUGACAUUUAAAGCCUCA
ensembl:processed_transcript